GAUGAACGCUAGCGGCAGGCCUAAUACAUGCAAGUCGAACGAGAUUAAGAGGCUUGCUUCUUAUGAAAGUGGCGCACGGGUGCGUAACGCGUAUGCAACCUACCUUAAUCAGGGGGAUAGCCCGAAGAAAUUCGGAUUAAGACCGCAUAAAAACACAGGAUAGCAUUAUCCAAUGUUCAAAUAUUUAUAGGAUUAAGAUGGGCAUGCGUGUCAUUAGCUAGUUGGCGGGGUAACGGCCCACCAAGGCGACGAUGACUAGGGGAUCUGAGAGGAUGACCCCCCACACUGGUACUGAGACACGGACCAGACUCCUACGGGAGGCAGCAGUAAGGAAUAUUGGUCAAUGGAGGGAACCCUGAACCAGCCAUGCCGCGUGCAGGAAGACAGCCCUCUGGGUCGUAAACUGCUUUUAUUCGGGAAUAAACCUUUCUACGUGUAGGAAGCUGAAUGUACCGAAGGAAUAAGGAUCGGCUAACUCCGUG
rnacentral:rRNA from 1 species